GUUUGAAUUAGGGUCAGAUCCUAACUCUGUCUCCUGAUUGGAUGAUUGUAUUAAAGCUCUCUGAUUGGUUCAAAUAGAACAUAUAUAACCAAUCAGAGAGCUUUAAUACAAUCAUCCAAUCAGGAGACAGAGUCAGGAUCUGACCCCAAUUCAAAC